rnacentral:rRNA from 1 species
GACGAACGCUGGCGGCGUGCCUAAUACAUGCAAGUCGAGCGGACUGAAUGGGAGCUUGCUCUUGUUCGGUCAGCGGCGGACGGGUGAGUAACACGUGGGCAACCUGCCCGCAAGACCGGGAUAACUCCGGGAAACCGGAGCUAAUACCGGAUAACACCGAAGACCGCAUGGUCUUUGGUUGAAAGGCGGCGCAAGCUGCCACUUGCGGAUGGGCCCGCGGCGCAUUAGCUAGUUGGUGAGGUAACGGCUCACCAAGGCGACGAUGCGUAGCCGGCCGGAGAGGGUGACCGGCAACACUGGGACUGAGACACGGCCCAGACUCCUACGGGAGGCAGCAGUAGGGAAUCUUCCGCAAUGGGCGAAAGCCUGACGGAGCGACGCCGCGUGAGCGAAGAAGGCCUUCGGGUCGUAAAGCUCUGUUGUGAGGGACGAAGGAGCGCCGUUUGAAGAAGGCGGCGCGGUGACGGUACCUCACGAGGAAGCCCCGGCUAACUACGUG